rnacentral:rRNA from 1 species
UACGGAGGGUGCAAGCGUUAUCCGGAUUCACUGGGUUUAAAGGGUGCGUAGGAGGGCAGGUAAGUCAGUGGUGAAAUCCCCGAGCUUAACUUGGGAACUGCCGUUGAUACUAUCUGUCUUGAAUAUUGUGGAGGUAAGCGGAAUAUGUCAUGUAGCGGUGAAAUGCUUAGAUAUGACAUAGAACACCAAUUGCGAAGGCAGCUUACUACACAACUAUUGACUCUGAUGCACGAAAGCGUGGGGAUCGAAACAGG